rnacentral:rRNA from 1 species
AUGGCCACCAUCUCUUCUUGCAGCCGCCUGUGCGGCGGCGGCAGCAGCACCGCCUUCCACCGCCGCCGCAGCCGGCCUGCGCGUGCCGCCGUCGUCACCUGCCGGAGAUUCUCCGCCGUCGUCCGCGCGGCCGCGGCCGCCUCUGCCACCGCCGCGGCGCCCGUGUCCACCGUGCCGCAGACCAAGGAGGUGAAGCUUCCGACGUGGGCGGAGUUCGAGCUGGGGAAGGCGCCGGUGUACUGGAAGACCACCAACGGCCUUCCUCCAGCCCCGGGAGAGGGCCUGAAGAUAUUCUACAACCCAGGGACGACCAAGCUGACACCCAACGAGCAGUUUGGCAUCGCCUUCAACGGGGGCUUUAACCAGCCGAUCAUGUGCGGCGGCGAGCCGAGGCAGAUGACGCUGCAAGAGAGGGGGAAAGCCUGUCCCCCCAUCUACACCAUCAGGAUCCGGGUGCCGCAGCAUGCCAUGACACUGGUUUUCUCCUUCACCAACGGAAAUGAGUGGGACGGGGCUUACACCCUCAAGUUCAAGGUCCCCAAGCCAUGGCUCGACAAGCCUUUGAGCUUCUUCAACGAGGGACUGGCUGACGAGCUCAACCUGGAGGGCGCCUGCGACAGGGCCAUCUUCCCGGAUGAAAACAUCGUCAUCACAAGCUGCGACAUCGGUGGCUUCUACGAGGAGGGAGGAGACCGGUGCAAGCUGGACAUCGUGAGCGGGUGCAUGGACCCGACCUCGCACAUGUUUGACCCGCUGGCCACCAUCGACGACGGCUCCUGCCCGCUGGACUCUGAUACGGAGGAGUGA